UACAGAGGUCUCAAGCGUUGUUCGGAUUCAUUGGGCGUAAAGGGUGCGUAGGCGGCGCGGUAAGUCGGGUGUGAAAUCUCGGAGCUUAACUCCGAAACUGCAGUCGAAACUAUUAGACUAGAGUAUAGUAGGGGUAAAGGGAAUUUCCAGUGGAGCGGUGAAAUGCGUAGAGAUUGGAAAGAACACCGAUGGCGAAGGCACUUUACUGGGCUAUUACUAACACUCAGAGACGAAAGCUAGGGUAGCAAAUGGG
rnacentral:rRNA from 1 species